GAUGAACGCUAGCGGCAGGCCUAAUACAUGCAAGUCGAACGGUGUCUUCGGACAUAGUGGCGCACGGGUGCGUAACACGUAUGCAACCUACCUUACAUUGGGGGAUAGCCUUUCGAAAGGGAGAUUAAUACCGCAUAAGACAGUAGCUGGGCAUCCAGCAGCUGUUAAAGAUUUAUCGAUGUAAGCUGGGCAUGCGUCCAAUUAGCUAGUUGGUGAGGUAACGGCUCACCAAGGCAAUGAUUGGUAGGGGAACUGAGAGGUCAAUCCCCCACACUGGCACUGGGAGACGGGCCAGACUCCUACGGGAGGCAGCAGUAGGGAAUAUUGGGCAAUGGACGCAAGUCUGACCCAGCCAUGCCGCGGGCAGGAUGAAGGCGUUAUGCGUUGUAAACUGCUUUUAUACAGGAAGAAACGACUCUUGCGAGAGGCAUUGACGGUACUGUAUGAAUAAGCACCGGCUAACUCCGUGCCAGCCGCCGCGGUAACAC
rnacentral:rRNA from 1 species